rnacentral:lncRNA from 1 species
AUUUGCCUCAGCACAGCGAGAAUACUCAUGGCUGAAACGACCAGCAUAUUCUCUUAAUGACUCGUCUGGCUUCUGGUAAAUAGUGUACAAGUCAUCUGCAGAAUGUAAGCGAUCGGUCUGGAAGAUGUGUUGAGAGAUAAACAGUUUCCUCAGUUCGUCAAAUGAGUCUACUGUCUCAGGUGAAAUAUGACAAUACCAGUUUAGAGCUCCGCCAGAGAGGGUGGAAGGGAAGAGAAGACAUCGCUCUUCGUCGGUGUGCAUCUGAUAUGCCAUGGUGGACUCAAAGAGGUUAAGGUGUUCAAUUGGGUCUUCCCUUCCAGUAUAGAGUUGUAAACCAAGCUUUUGUUUUGUCUUCGCUUGAAGGGGGUGUCAGGGAUCCUCCUUGUGAAAUGGCCAGGCAUGGGUUAGUUCCAGUCAGGUAUCUCGGCCUGACGUUCGGCCUUCAACUUGUUUACUUCCUCAAGGAGUUGUAGCACAAGGGGGUCUUGAGUGAAGUCAUGUACCACUGGGAUUUUCUUUCGUAAGUCUCUAUCGCCUCUUUAAAGUAGGAAAGUUUGAGCAAGGGCGUGUGAUUUUUCCUUGGACUCGCUGUACUGACUUCUAGGGCGAGUCUGUCGGAAUACCUCAGAGUCCCCUGUACCUUCAUGUUCCUUUAGGACAUGUCGUUCCUUCCCUAGAUUGGUAGCUGGCUUGGGUCAUAGGAGGGGACCGAGUCUUUCAAAAACCAUUGGGUCAUUGAUCUUCGAGCAUAUGUAGAAGGGAUUCUCUCGAUGUUGCUUUAGGAAGUCUCGACAGUCACGAUAAAUGGCUUUUGAUCCUUCCAACCCUUCUGCAAGGAGGUGUCUUCCUCCACUUCUCCUGCUUCAGGUCGAAGCAGUUGGGUUGAGAGAAGUCUUAUGUCGAUCAAUGUUUUGAUGAUUAACUCGCUCCUCAUUAGGGAUACCCGUGUCGAAUGAAGGUGACCCUCCGUGUUGGGGGGCACCCAGAUGAUGGUUGAUAUCCACAGGGGCAACAAGCUUGCGUGUUUAAGUACGCAUAGUUUUGUGGAACAUCUCAAAGAGCUUCUUAUACUGCUCCUGGAGGACCUCAUUCUUCAUUUCUAUUUUGUUGUUUUGAGCUUCUAGCUCAUCGACUUUAGCUUGAAGAGCAACCAUUUUUCCUUCAUUCUUUCGUUGUUUCGCACUAGGUGUAAGAGAGGUAUCAUUCUGUGUGAUGUGGCUUUCUUCGCUCCCCAUAUUGGAGAGGGAUGCCUGGUCAAAAGAGAGUGUACGAAUGGUAGAAACCAGCUUGACAAAGCUAAAGAGAGUGGGAAUAAGUGUCUUUCCCAUAGACGGUGCCAAAUGUUGAUGCACAAAAUCAAUGAGGACUUUGGUACAAUAGAAAGUGUUAAGUUUGUGACCUUCGCUAGAUUCCUCCGGUCACUAGUGUGGAUAAGUAUGUAAAUGGAUAGAGACAGGGAAGCAAACACAAGAUGUACGUGGUUCACCCAGAUUGGCUACGUCCACGGAGUAGAGGAGUUCUCAUUAAUUGUGAAGGGUUUACACAAGUACAUAGGUUCAAGCUCUCCUUUAGUGAGUACAAGUGAAUGAUUUAGUACAAAUGGCAUUAGGAAAUAUUAUGAAAGAAUGAUCUCUAUUUAUAGAAGAGAGUUUCUAGUUU